UCAUCACCUCUAACAAUGGGACUCACAGAGUUCCUGCCAUUACCAUUCUCUUUUGGACUACCAUCAUACUCUGAUCCACGCUUUGGGCUCGCAUCUGUCACUUUUUGGUCUGGGCUCAGGCUUUGGUCCCUGCCUUUAGGUGACAAAGAUCGCUCCAUUGCCUUAGGGCUGCGUGAUCUGUCCUCUACGCUUUUCUCUCUUCUCACUGGGGAUCGCGAUCGACUGAUGAAAAGAGAAAUAAAGAGUCAACAAAAGGGUAUAAGCCCAUAAUACCGUGUAAAAUUAGUGUUGUCAUCAACGUACUAAUAGCCUACAAAGUAAGAAUAAUUUCUACAAUGCUAGGGAAACUAGUUGUCUAAAGUCCAAAUUUAUCACUGACCUGU
rnacentral:lncRNA from 1 species